GACGAACGCUGGCGGCGUGCUUAACACAUGCAAGUCGAACGGAAAGGCCCUGCUUUUGUGGGGUGCUCGAGUGGCGAACGGGUGAGUAACACGUGAGUAACCUGCCCUUGACUUUGGGAUAACUUCAGGAAACUGGGGCUAAUAUCGGAUAGGAGCUCCUGCUGCAUGGUGGGGGUUGGAAAGUUUCGGCGGUUGGGGAUGGACUCGCGGCUUAUCAGCUUGUUGGUGGGGUAGUGGCUUACCAAGGCAUUGACGGGUAGCCGGCCUGGGAGGGUGACCGGCCACAUGGGGACUGAGAUACGGGCCGGACGCCUACGGGAGGCAGCAGUGGGGACUAUUGCACAAUGGGCGGAGGCCUGAUGCAGCAACGCCGCGUGCGGGAUGACGGCCUUCGGGUAGGAAACCGAUUUCGCCUGUGACGAAGCGUGAGUGACGGUAAUGGGUAAAGAAGCACCGGCUAACUACGU
rnacentral:rRNA from 1 species